AUGCCUUCCAAAUUCAUGGUGCCCCUUGCAAAUUCAUGCCCAUUUCCAGGAGUCCUGAUUGUAAAUGAAUCAUUUUUGAGGUGACUCCUCAUGGAUAGGAGACUAAUACAUUGUUUCUAGUUGACUAACCCCUUCUAUAAGAUGCUAAUUUGCUGAAAAGUUGCUCCUCAUGGUUCAUUCCAUAUUCCCUAACAAAGUCAACACUUACAUUACCUAGGUUUGGACACCCUCAUCCUUGCCACCUGAGGGGAUGAGGUCUCUGAAUAGGAGGGAAUGAAGGCAAGCUGGGACUAUGCUCCCUGGACAUACAUCAGCUAUAGCUCUAAGAUACUAUCAAUAUCCCCAAUUUAGAUGGGGAAACUCUUUGAAGCUCAGUGAAGUUAAGAAAUUGGCCAAGCUUACGUAGAUUAUAAGGUGGAGCAGUCAUAAUAUGACAUUAGAACUUUCCCAUAUUCUUUUCAUUUUGCCCUUCUGCUUUCUAAAGGGCAUAGAAAUUUGAGUACCAGAAGGCUCUGGAACCUAGUAUUCAAGAGGGGAGCCAGAGAACUGAUGUUUUUAGCCAGCAGUGAUUGCCCCCACCCAAGUCUUCCCAAUAUUGUGACAGCUUGUCUCUCUCACACAGACUUAUACAAGGCCCACAGAAUUUGCUUUCUGUUGCUCCCUUAGUUGGGAUCUUUGUUCUUUUGCAGUGGAAUAUUUAAUCCCAGGCCCUAUCUGGGUUUGUUGGUUGGCUUUCUUUUUUUGUAUUUUUUAUAUUCUUUUGCAGUUGCUUCUGAUCAUUGUACCUUCCAGGGUUGUGAGUGGUUUCUCCUGUUGCUCCUCCUCCUCAUGUGGUACGCUGAUCAGCUCCUCUCCCCGCCUCUCUUAGAACCUGAUUUCACUCCAGCCUGGUGGGACCACCUUUAUCUUCAGAUGGGAAUGGAGUCUGAAUGGCCUUCCUGAGAGCAAAGGGAACCCGUUCCUUUGUUUCCUUGUAACCAUCCUUGGACCUGACUCAGCAAUCAAUCUAGCCCUGGAGGAAUCUAACCUUCCUGAUGCAACCCCAAGUUCUCCUCAAAACCAACUCCUGCCCCAGCAACUGAAGUACCUUUCCUCCUGGACCAUAUGAACUGACCCAGAUUUUUCCCUUCUGUGGUGUGUCAAAUUAUGCCUUGCACCUUGGAAAUCCCAUGUGAGACUAUCCCAAGGUGCUGCAUCUUCUACCUCAUGGAGUAUACUCCCAGAAAUUACAGUGUAUUUUUCUAGGGUAGUAUCUUUAACAAAGCAGAUGGAUUCUUCUAAAUUUGGCAACAAUAGGGUUUAGAUGGGAGACUUCUGCAUGGCAGGAUGCCAGUCCUGUCGGUCCUGAAAACAUGAGUGACUGGCAGAUGCCAUUUUGGUCCAAAAAGUUGACUUGCUUGAAAUUCAACUUCAAAUUAAGCUUUUAAUAAGAUCAACCUGGGGGCCAAUUUGGUCUUUCUCUAGGUUGUGUUCUCAUGUUUACUCAAAGCGGGACCAAGAUGAUAGUCAUCUGAGGUUGCCAUUUUCAAAGGCUGAGGAUUUGGAAUAUUUGUUUCCCUAUGAAUUUUGGAAACUGGCUUUUCACCUUUGGAGUGACUCUUUGUGAAGCUGUUGCCCUGAGGCCAAAAUUAACCAGGGAUUUAAAAUUGGGCUGGGGACAAGGUGCUAGAGUCUCAGACUCUGAAAAGGUUUCAUGAGGCUGAGUGUUCAGUCACUCAUGUGUUCAGGUGUAUUUUUAAAAGUGUGUAUGUGAGAUGCAUGUACAUAUAUAUGUGUCUGUUUCUCAGGAAAUAGGAAACUAGAAAAGAAAGAUACUAUAACCUCAAAAAUUAAAAAAAAAAAAACUUUUUUGAGCUAGACUAAAAAUUAGAUAAGUUGCUUUUGUCUACCUGCAAAUGAAUCAUUGUAGAAAUAUGAUCAUCUUAUGUCAUCAACAAAGUUGUUUUCUAGAAGAGAACUGGGAGAAUCAAAUGAGAUAUUCAGACUGAGGACUGAGUUGAUUUCUGGUUUCUGUGCAGCAGGUACAGGUGUAAUGGUUUGACACCUCUCCCUAUCUGCUGCCUCCACUAGGCUUUCCCUGAGAACAUCCCACAGCAAUCCACAUGACCUAUGGGAUGUCCUGUCUUAGAUGGAGUUAGUUGGGAGAGACCGGAGACUACCUGCUACUGGGUGAAUGAGCUUGACAGGUUCUUUGUUUUCCCCAGUUCUUGUCACAGAGGAAGCAACAGCCAGGAAAUUUUCGUGUAGUGACUGCUAAGCUGUAGGUAGCCCCUUAGAUCCCUGUCAGUCUCCCUGAUUUUGGGUACUAGCUGUAUUUCAGCUUUGACAGUAAUGCUUUCUAAGGAAGAGAAAGCACCCUGAUCCAGACACUGCCUAUUAGCUUCCUGUGCAAAGGCUCCUCACUUCUCACUACCCAGCACUCAGACAGAGCCACAGGGAUGCCUUUCUCCCCAUGGCUAUGAUGUUAGAAGACAGGCUGUAAUCUCAGGCCUUUACUGUCAUCUGAGACUGAGGCCUGGGGCUUAAAGUUUGGAAUGCAACACAUGAAGGGUUUUUGUAUUUUUUAAAUGUAAAUUUGAUUAUUUUAUUGCUAAUUUAAAAAUAAAUGACUUUCUAAAGAUUGCAAAUCAGUUCUGUCUCUUAUCUCCCUGCAAACACUUGGUGAUCUGGUGCCACCAUGUGGUGGUUUCUGUUCAGGUUUUGGGACUCUGGUGGUUUAGAAAGUUCAAGUUUUUGAAAGUGGCUUCACUCCCAAAGAAUGCAGUGUAACUGCACUUGAGUUUCAGAGUUGAGGUCCUGCCCACAAAAGACUUUGUUCAUUCGUUCAGAGCACCUUGCUAUUUUUCUGUGAACACUCCGGGUUCCAGAAGCCAGAUCCAUCACUCUUCCCUUUUGCUGCUCCUUUUCCCUUUGUACCCUCCUCCAUGUUCAGAGGCACCAGUCUUCCUUUAGUCAGAACUAUCUCCUUCACAGUGAUGUCAUUGCUCAUGUGCUUUUUCUUUCCUUGUCUGGAUGAGCAGAAGAAGAUCAUGAUCAUGAUCUGCUGUGUUAUCCUUGUGAUCAUCUUGGCUUCCACCAUUGGGAGCAUAUUUUCCUGAAAAAGGUGAGCUGUCAUCGGGGAGGAGGGUCAGGUCUGCUUUCACUAAACACUCUUGUGUUCGGGAGCAUUCACUGUUUGUUGCCAGUUUCCCUAAUCUGUGUGUGAUGAGGUGCUAGAAUAGGUAAAGAGUAAACUAAGGAAAAGGAUGUUUCAGAUAAAAAUGAGUGGAGCUGGUAGCAGUCAGUGGGAGAGCAAGGAAGAAAGGAGGCAGAAAUCUGUCCCAUAACUGCACCUGGGAGCAGAAUGCUUUGUACAGGUCAAAUUGUUGAUUCCUGCUGUAAAAAUUGAGCCUUGGUGUCUGGGAAUGGCAGAAUGAGAAAGAAUUAGCUCUUGCAUUAGGUGGACCCUGAACUGGGGUUAGGAUAAGAUAGUAUAACCUUGUGAAUAUUGUCUUACCCCUACUGAAGAGGGAGUUAUUUGAAAAUAAAAUACCAUGCUCUACAAUCUAUGAUUUUCCCCCUCCAUUCUUCUGUUAUUUCCUUCUGCCCUCACAGAUGGAUCUUCGUGGCAUUUCCAAUCCUUCUCCCACCUUUGUGGGGUCAUCACUUCACUGCAGACUCCUCAUCAGCUACACCUCUUUCCAUUAGGCAACUUAUUAUGACACAAAGCAUCAAUCAACUACUUAUUACGUUAUGCAAAGGGAGAAUGUAUGCAAAUAUGGAAAUGGGAGGGGGAAGGAAUGAAGGAACAGAGGGCACAGCAAUAUGUAGUUGGUUAGGCAAAUGGUUUAAAGGAAGGGCCUGCAGGGUACAUCAAUAGGCAUAAUGGGUACCUGCUUAGGAGAUGACGACUGGAGCCCACACCAACAGGAUGGCUGUGGAGAGGCAGUUCCUGUAGCACACCCAGUUCAACAGGGUCUUCUGUGAACUAAGAUCAGCACAUCUGUUACUUCUGCUUUUAAGGCUCUUCUAGGUCUCACCCUUGACCAACUAUAUAUCUUCUUCCUUCUUCAGGGUCCAACAGUAGUCUUCAAAUUGGGAGGUACCAGGCCUUGUCUUGCUCACUGCUCUGUCCCCAGUGCUUAGCACAGUGCCUGCCACUCACAGGUGCUCAAAUAUCUGCUGACUCAGCGAUCUAUUAUUAAGUUGUGAUUCCACUCAUGGAUGAGUGCUUGGGAUUGACUCUUUAAAGGCAUCAAUGGGAACCUUUUAAAAUUUUUUUUACUUAUUUUUUUUAUUGUCAGAAGCUGUGAAAGCUGACAGCCACUGGGCUGAUACACUUAACAGCCCCCCCCACCCCACCCCGUUUUUUUUUUGUGUGUAUGUGUGGGUGGUGAUGGUGGAGUCCUAUUAGUAGCCUCUUUCCGUAAAGAAGAUGGUUGGUUGCAGGAUGGCAGUUCACUAAUAGACCUCCAACAAAAGCAACAUGUUUAUAUCAAGACUGAACCUCCAACAGUCAACAUACCAUGCUCUGUAGUCCACACAAACAGGUGAAGUGUGAGGUAAGAAAGGAGGAGUAAGUGGUCGCUUGCUUUACUUCUUCGUGGUAUGUAUCGCAGGCUGAAACUGUUGGUUGGAAUGCACCAGCACAGAAGUGGUCCAGAGGCUGUGUCCAACUCAAGGUUGUUCUGUUCCCCUUUAAAAACUAUGUAUAUGUGAGUUCCAAUAUGAAUGAUUUACUUAGUGAUUACACUGCAAAAGGAUCACUAAAAAUUCAUAGUACAUGACUUGUUGAGGACCACCCAACUGUGCAGAUGUGCACUUCUGAAAGUCGGUGAUAAAUUCUUAUUUUCUUUUCUGGAGAUGUAAUUUUUUUAAGAAAAUGGGAUAAAAAUGACAUUUUUAUCAGUGUGCUUUCUAUUAAUUUUCAAAAGCAAAUGGUUUAACAUUUCUUGUAAUUUGUGUUUCCUUUAGUUUGAAUAGGGGCUAUAACCGGCUAGCUCUGAAAUAUGGAUUAAUCUUGUUAUAAACAGGGUGCUGGAACCGUGGGAAUUUGAAUCACAUGGGGUCCUCAUUCACCCAGCAGUGGUAAUUUGUGUGCCAGAUGGCAUAUGGCACUGUGCUAAUCCUGCAGAGACACAAAGAGCCUAACACUCCCCUCCUUGAGACCUCCAGACUAGGAGGCACCAUGUAAUUUCAACUUUUAAGUUCCUUUGCUAAAAGCUAUGUUCCUUGUCAUAUUGUCCAACAUCCCCUCUUUCCAGAUUCAAAGAAGAUGGGUAGAUGGCACCAAUAAAUAUCUCUUGAAUCCAUUAACCUAUUAAGUGUCAUUAUUUUCUUUGUUAC
rnacentral:lncRNA from 1 species